rnacentral:misc_RNA from 1 species
AUGCUCGAGCUGCUCGCGCGGCGAGAGCGGGCCGCCGCGUGCCGGCCGGGGACGGACCGGGAACGGCCCCCUCGGGGGCCUUCCCCGGGCGUCGAACAACCGACUCAGAACUGAAUCCAAGCUAGCAACCGGCGCCUCUGCUCGCCGCCCGCCCCGACCCACGUUAGGGCGUUCGCGCCCCAAGGGCCCGUGCCAUUGGCUCAGCCCGCCCGGCCGACGCGCCGCGGCGGGCCGCCUCGAAGCUCCCUUCCCAACGGGCGGCGUGCUGAAUCCUUUGCAGACGACUUAAAACGCGACGGGGCAUUGCAGAACUCCCCGAAGUCCUGGGAGGGGGUCUCCUCGGCCGAGCCCCGCACCCCCUCGCGGCCUAGCCGUGGCCGGUCGGCACCCUACCGCGCCCAGCUCCGGCUGGCGCUGUUGGCUGCCUGGCCGGCCGUGGUUCGGCCGUGA